ensembl:snRNA U6 U6 spliceosomal RNA
GCGCUUGCUUUGGGAGCACAUGUACUAAAGUCAGGACACCACAGAGAAGAUUAGCACGGCCCCUGCGUGUAACAGAAGGAGAGAUGAAGACCUUGCCA